AAAAAAAAGGAGCACAGCAGCUGAUAGGAAGCAGAAGCACAGAGUCAUGGAAAAGCAUUCACACUGCUUCUACUAAACAUCCACCUAAAGGUUGGGAUAUCUUUAUUAAAGCCAUGGCCGAGCUGAACAUAUCAUCUUCUCUUAUGGGCAAUGCCGCAAAUUGGGAUCAUCUGGAAUACCCGAAAACCUCUGCAGCAACCCAAGAAACACUAACCUCACUGCCAAAGAAGCAAAAGAUUGUCUCUAAAAGCAAGUGGAUCAGCAUGUAAAGUUUUACAUUUGUAAUAGACUAUUCUAUACUGCUUCAAAA